GUCAGUAUUGAUAGCUGGUUGAAUGAACCGAUUUUUAAGGGAUCACUAAAGUUAAGCCACAUUGUGUGUGGUUAGUAUUCGGAUGGGUGACCAUCUGGGCAAUCGCGUGCUGCUGGCU
rnacentral:rRNA from 1 species